UUAUAGUUCACACCAGAGAAGAUGCUGGUUUAAAAGAGGGAAAUGUUUCUGAACUUUUAUCAUAGACUCAAACCUCAGUUGUUUUUCUCCUCCAUACUAAAACAGCUACACUGACAACAUAGGACGUUCAUGUGAUCAGAGCUGAUAAAAUGAACGCUGUCCUUCUGACUAUCGUGUGCACUCUCGCACUUCUGCAUGGAUGGAAUGCAAUGGUUUACAAUCCAAACCGAAACUCCAACUCAAGGAACAAGUACAACAAUCGCCCAUGUCAGAGGACCUGGAACAAUAAUGGAUUCAACAGAUUUGUUCAGAAGCACAUCCUUCAGCAAAACUUCAACAGAAAUUCAAAGGAGGCAUGGCAAAUGUACUUGGAGAAUGAAAGACUCUGCAACAGACCUCUGCAGUCCUUCAUCAAGAAGAAGGAUGAGAAACGUGUGGUGAAGAUCUGUAAUGGUUCCGGCAGGCGUGUUCGUGAUAACUUAUGCAUCAGUACCUCAACCUUUAAGAUAUAUGAUGUUGAAGUGAACACCAGCAGCUGUAGAGUUACAAGAAUUACGAAAAACACAAUAAAAGUGAUAGUGGCUUGUGACAAAGUUGGAAACCAGUGUCGUCCUGUUCACUUUGAAAAAUAUGUGUUCCAGAGGCCAACAGAUGAACGCUGUCAUGGUUAGCUAAUUAUUAUUUUUUUUGCUUGGAUAAACAAUCUCCUUAUGUGUUUUUGCUCUUUGCUACAUUAAAUAUUAUUAUUUGUUAUAUGUUCUUUGCUUAUCUCAUUAAAUCCUGGUCCUAUAUCAUUCAGUGAGAAAAUCAAAAGUAUGACUAUAUUCCACAUAUAAAAGGAACAGUUAAAUUUCUUAUGAAUGCACUUUCAGCUAGAGUUUAUUUGCAGCUAUACAAAGAGAGAAAUGGAUGAAAACUCAUCAUGAUACCAUCAUAAAUAAGACAAUGUAUUUUAUAAACAUGGUUUUCAUUUUAAGCUUCGUUGUGAUCCUCUCUGUUUUUAUUUGUCAGUCUUUUCCAUACUGUCCCGCAAAUAUUUUAAACCUAUUUAAUUUUUAUAUUUUAUAUGCUAACAUUAAAACUAAAUCUCUUUGGAAGUUAACAUAGGUUUUGGUUUCUAUUUUAUGGCACCUAAACAACUUGCUCUGUUAUGUCAUUUUGUUAUGAAAAAUCUAAACAGUUUGAGUGAGUUGUGGGUUUUUGUUGACAUAUUUUGAGUUUUGUGGUUACUAUUGAGAAAUUGAGAAGAAGUAACAUUCAGGGUGGUAUCACCGAUACUGAUCCGAUACCGAUACUUUGUACAAAAACUUAAUAUGUUAUUGUAUUUUAGCUUCAUCAAAUUAUAGCUUCAUACUGAUUACAUGAUAUCAGACUACUUAUUCUUAUUGUUUAAUUAUGAAGAAUUAAAUAGAAAUAAAAAACCUGAAGCUGUGUGUUAAUUGAUGC